ACAGUUCAUUAGGAAAGAUGUGAAAUGCACCCCUUGACCCCAGUGUCCUCAUGCUUCCAGGCUGUUUGCAAACAAAGGACACAGUUCCAUCUCUGGUUGGUGAAGCAUAAAAAAGAGCUGUCAUGCCCAGUUUUAAUAGGCAAUAGGAUUUCAAGCCCCCAGAGUUGUUUCACAGUCUGGCAGUGGCCAUAAUGAAACUGGCCACUGUUGCCACAAGACUUUUUCCUCUCAUGCAUUCUCCCCUGUUACCUCCCACAGCUGCUUGACUGGCAGGUCUCUUGCAAACAUAUUUACAUUGGAGCUGGUAGUAUUUCUUUAGCUCUCUGUGCCAUCUUACUCUCUAAAAAGAAAUGUAUUUCCUUUGCCUAGCUAGAGACUCAACCUUAAGACUAAUUUUAAAGAAUAAAAUUAAACUCUGCAUGUAAUUAACUGCCUUUAAGCACAAACAGCAGUUCCUUCUUAUGUGUUCUGUUGUGAAGCAAAUAGCAUGUUUGUUUGUUUGCUUUUUCACACUGAUUCCCAAAUAAAUGGGAAAGUACAACUA